rnacentral:rRNA from 1 species
ACGGAAGGCAGCAGUAGGGAAUAUUGGUCAAUGGGGGAAACCCUGAACCAGCGACGCCGCGUGAGUGAAGAAGUAUUUCGGUAUGUAAAGCUCUAUCAGCAGGGACGGUAAUGACGGUACCUGACUAAGAAGCCCCGGCUAACUACGUGCCAGCAGCCGCGGUAGUACGUAGGGGGCAAGCGUUAUCCGGAUUUACUGGGUGUAAAGGGAGCGUAGGUGGCCAUGCAAGUCAGAUGUGAAAUCCCGGGGCUCAACCCCGGAGCUGCAUUUGAAACUGCGUAGCUAGAGUGCAGGAGAGGUAAGCGGAAUUCCUAGCGUAGCGGUGAAAUGCGUAGAUAUUAGGAGGAACACCAGUGGCGAAAGCGGCUUGCUGGACUGCAACUGACACUGAGGCUCGAAAGCGUGGGGAGCAAACAGGAUUAGAUACCCUGGUA